UGACUCUUGGGGCAUCGGACGGAUAC
rnacentral:piRNA from 1 species